UACGUAGGGGGCGAGCGUUGGUCCGGAGUUACUGGGCGUAAAGCGCACGCAGGCGGUCUGCUAAGUUUGGAGUGACAGUUGGUGGCUCAACCACCAAAGUGCUUCGAAAACUGACAGACUUGAGGGCUUCAGAGGGACACGGAAUUCCGGGUGGAGUGGUGAAAUGCGUAGAGAUCCGGAGGAACACCGAAGGCGAAGGCAGUGUCCUGGGGAGUACCUGACGCUCAGGUGCGAAAGCUAGGGGAGCGAACGGG
rnacentral:rRNA from 1 species